CGCACCGUAAACGUUGUAUACUAGUUGUUGGCGGUUUCAACGCCGUCAGUGACGACGCUAACGCAUUAAGUAUACCGCCUGGGGAGUAUGCUCGCAAGGGUGAAACUCAAAGAAAUUGACGGGGGCCCGCACAAGCGGUGGAGCAUGUGGUUUAAUUCGACGAUACGCGAGAAACCUUACCUGGGUUUGACAUGGAUUUGACUGGGAUAGAGAUAUUCCUUCCCGCAAGGGCAGAUUCACAGGUGU
rnacentral:rRNA from 1 species